CACAAUACAUUAGUACAACUUACAGUCUGCAAAAAUCCCGCGUUUGAAGAGAACGUCUCGGAACCAUUCUCAAUGAAAAAUAUGUGGAAAUUUCUUUCGAUUUGGACUUUGUGCUGCAUCAUCCACGAGCUAACCGUUGAGGCUGCGUCUUGCCAAGGAGAAUGCGUCCCAAUUGCUUGUGAUAAAAAUAAAGUUCUAAGCGGCGAAGAAACACCCAUAUUCAAUCUUAGGUUAGAAACAAACGAGUGUGAUAAUGUACUCGAAGUUUGCUGUCCCACAACAGAUAUUGUUCCUCUGAAUGUCUCCCCGUCCAGACCGACACGUGUUGGUGAACAAUGUGGCAUUCGAAACGACAAUGGUGCGGGAGUUCAAAUCACCGGAAACACCAAGGGUGAAUCACAGUACGCGGAAUUUCCAUGGACGUUGAUGUUAUUUGCCGAAAUGGUCAUAUUCGAUGAACCGAAAGACAUUUACGUAGGUUCUGCAUCACUUAUAUCAUCUGCAGUGGCAUUGACUGCCGCCCAUACAAUUUCGCAACCUCAAGGCGAUGAGCUUUUCGUACGUGCCGGUGAAUGGGAUCUGAACGGAGAUAAUGAGCUGCUACCAAUACAGAAUCGCCGUGUGUCCAGAACAAUAGUUUAUGAAGGAUACAACCAGAAGCACCACAACAACAUAGCACUUCUUAUCCUAGAAAAGCCGUUUGAUCUAGACAAGCACAUCCAACCGAUUUGUCUCCCAUCACCAUCAAUUUCCUAUGAUCGGGAAACUUGUUUCACUGGUGGCUGGGGUGAAACCAAAUUCAUAGAUAAAAAGAGGGUGAAUAUUUUGAAAAAAGUUCAAGUUCCUCUAAUGGACCACGAUCAAUGCGAAGCUGCCUUCAGAACGACACGACUGGGACCGAACUUCUCUCUAGAUCGUAGUUAUAUUUGUGCAGGUGGAGAGGAAAAGGUUGACGUCUGCACAGGGGAUGGAGGCGCCCCGUUGAUUUGUCCGGAUUCCAGCGGUGUUUAUUACCAGAUUGGUAUAGUGGCGUGGGGCAUUGGCUGCGGACAACGUGGUAUCCCAGGGGCUUACACAAAUGUAGCUAUGUUCCGUGCUUGGAUUGAAUCACAACUGUAAUCAACGGUCGAUUUUUAAUUAUCGACGAAUAUGCGGGUAGUCGUAGGUACUAGUAUUUCUUAAACAUUAUGAGUCUGAAAUCGGUUUCAAAAUAAAAAGGAGCGACGUUACGAAAACAGUAAAAUACGCUGUACAGAUAACGCAGACAUAGCGGAGUGUUUUGAUUAGGGUGAACUGUUAUCAACAGAUUUGUUAAAGGAGCAUUUUGUUUCGACAAACUCAAAAAAUGCAGAUCAGCUACUAAAUGUCAAAAAAAACUGACAAAAUGCAAAAACAAGUACAUGUGGCAAUGAUGAGUUUCUUUUGCAAAAUUUUGUGUAAAUAUGAAUCGAGCUUUUUGCGAGGCUAAGCGUGCGACAUCUGGCGAAAAUAUGGCUCAUAGUCAACAAGUCUGAUUGAUGCGCAUCAGAAAUUUGGCAAAACCCAGAUUUAUCUGGCCUAAUGGCCGCUUAAUGUGGACUUUUAGCACAGACUAACGAACGUAACACUUCAAGCAAAUUUUAGAUGAUAAUAGCACUUUAGGCAAUUAUUAUCUGCACCAUUAAUGUUAUUAGUUUUUUUUUAUGGCGGUGCCAGCUUAUUUGCAUAUGUUCAAUUGAAAAAUCGUCAAAAAAGUGGCGAUUUGUAUCAAACUAAAAAUUAAAAAGUUUAUCGGUCUUAUCCGCGGAAUUAGAAUAUGUAGAAUGACAGUGCUAAGAUGUUCAAGAUUAAAAUGAUGCUGAUAAUCCGGUUAUUGUCUUUGAUGCGGAAAAAACUCCUCACUCCUAUUGAUGGCCUGUUCAAUCUAUGUGAUGAUAGCAGCCAUGCUAGACCUGUCGCUUUAUUUGCGUAUGUGUCUACUUUGCAGUGGCUUACUUUUCUAAAAAUAAAACUAAAAACUAAUUAAAGAAAAAGUGCAGUUAAACAACGGACGGCAAAAUUUCUACAAACAGGAUAUGCAAAGCAUAGAACGUGUCGAAUGCGGAAUGUACCAACAUUGCAAAUAAACAAAAAUGAACUGUUGCGUUUCUCACGUAAAGAUUAUUUUCAAGGCAGAUAUCGAUCACGAAAGAAUACAACACUAAAUUCUCUACCUUGAACGUCACGAAUAUCAUUGCCCAAUUUGACGCUUCUUGUUCCGAAACAGGUAUAUUGCCUCGGAGUUCCCGGUGUUUUGUAGAAAAACCGGUCCACGCUUUCAUCUGUUUUGUUUUCAUACCCGGGGUUUUUUCUUUGAACUGGCUGUUGUCUAUGUAGACGUAUGUGAGCUUCCACGGAUGGCGCCUCGAACACAGUGAACUUCAAUCCUAUAUCAAUGUAUCAUGCACCAACGUAGCGACGCUCGAUUUUCUGUGGUAUUGCCGCAUUGUUAGAUAACGUAUUCUCUGACCGAUCCACUUUGUAGGUGAUCCGCCGAUCGCCAGCUACGGCUGACCGCUCUCACUCUCUCACAGUCAGUACGCGAUUGUCUCUGAAAAAGUGCAGUUUGUAAGUCGGUUCUAGAGCGGUCAUUCUUGUAAGUUUUUGUUCUUAAAUGAACAUGCAGUUUGAAGACAAGAAAAACAAACUCGUUCGUCUAGUAUUUGCUUUGAGGCCAAUUUGUCUUUAACUUCGACAAAUAU